rnacentral:tRNA from 1 species
GUCUCGGUGGUGUAGUGGUCAAGACGCUCGCUUGCCAAUCGGGAGGACGUGGGUUCAAUCCCAGCCCAGGCA